rnacentral:lncRNA from 1 species
ACAAAAGAAAGGGGGAGUCACAGGCAACCCUAGAGAACUUAUAAAUCUAGCUUUUUAUACUAUUAAUUUCUUGAUUUUUCACAAAGAUGUACUAGCUCUGGCAGGGUAGUGUCCAUUGCAAGGGACUCCAUCUUUAGAUAAUCGCCAGGUGAUGUGGAGAGACCCAGAAAGUUGUGAAUGGAAGGGACCAGAGAGGUAAACUGCUUGGGGGAGAGGGUUUCUUGUAUCUCCACAGAUGCAGAAGGAUUCAGAUGGCUGCCAAUGAGCCUUAUUUGCUUUGUCCAUCAGAGAGAGAUGAAAGGAAGGAGAAGACCCAAGAAACAUUGGGUGGUUCUGUUGCUGACUGUGCUCACCACUGAAUGAGCAUGGCAGUUAUGGCGUUUGACUCAUGGACAUCAAAAAUUGUAGGACUUCAAAACCCUCAGGAAUCAUUGGAUUCUCUGAGACAUAAGACUGUUGCAGGACUUCAAAAUCUGCUGGAAUCAUUGGAUUCCCCACCACAUCAAAAGACUGUUGCAGGACUUCAAAAACUUGCGGGGAUCAUUGGAUCCCCUGACAUGUGAUGCAAUGGACAAUAGAUUGGUUUUGGACUAUCUCUUGGCUGCUGAAGAAGGCGUAUGUGUGACUGUUGUUUACAUACCCUCCUUCUAGGACUUCUGGAAAUCUUUUACAACACUAACACUAUGUUGAUUCAUAUUGUUUAUUAUAUCACUACUUGCAUGUACAAUUGAUGUUUCUUGCACCACAUGAGCCUGCACUGGUUGUGGGGGAGUCAUCACUAAUAGCCUGUGCAUUAUUGAUAUGUGCUUGUGUAAUACCUCCCAUGCUGAUGGGUUUGUGCAUACCUGUUUCUAAUAAAACCCUUCAGCCCAGAAACCUGUUAGCAAUCCCCACUUCCCUUUGGUGUUUUUCAUCUCCCUUCCUGAGAUGUCAGGGAGGGUAUGAUCAUCUCCUUUUUAGUGCUUUCACCUCCCUUCCUGAGAAGUCAGGGGGAGCGUGAUCCCCUCGUUUUGGGGUUCUCACCUCCCUGAGAAGUCAGGGAUGGCGUGACCACCUGUGUUCUAAAACAAAAGAAAGCAGGAGAUGUAGAGGGCUGAAACUCUUGAGUCGAUGCACUGAGGUCAGGACAGCUGAGCACUUGAGGCUAACUAACAACUGGAUGAUACUCUAUGGGCAUAUACUUGGAAAAUGAUCCUUCCCACUAUCCUGUGCUGGCUCAAUGAUUGGUGUAUACAGAGAAAUGUAGGAGGGACUGGGGGGUGGAGUAAGAUGAGCAAGAGUCACUUUGGCUGUAGAGGAGGAAAAAGGAAGGUUGCAGAGAUCCUGCUUCCAACCCCUUCACUUCUACCCCUAAAAACCAAGAAUAAAGACUAAGGACUUUUGCUUAUCCUGACUGGCUGAUUCUAAGGUAUCCAGGGUGCUAACGCAGUCAUCACAAUAAACCUUAACAAUGCA